rfam:Rattus norvegicus vascular endothelial growth factor gene, 5' TTR region and partial cds.
GCUAGCUCGGGCCUGGAGAAGCCGGGGCCCGAGAAGAGAGGGGAGAAAGAGAAGGAAGAGGAGAGGGGGCCGCAGUGGGCGCUCGGCUCUCGGGAGCCGGGCUCAUGGACGGGUGAGGCGGCGGUGUGCGCAGACAGUGCUCCAGCCGCGCGCGCCCCAGGCCCCGGCCCGGGCCUCGGUUCCAGAAGGGAGAGGAGCCCGCCAAGGCCGGCAAGAGAGCGGCUGCCUCGCAGUCCGAGCCGGAGAGGGAGCGCGACGCGCGCGGCCCCGGACGGCCUCUGAAACCAUGAACUU